rnacentral:rRNA from 1 species
CCUACGGGAGGCUGCAGUGGGGAAUAUUGGGCAAUGGACGCAACUCUGACCCAGCAACGCCGCGUGAGUGAUGAAGGUCUUCGGAUUGUAAAGUUCUUUGAUGCGGGAUGAACACAAUGACGGUACCCCAAUAGCAAGCCACGGCUAACUACGUGCCAGCAGCCCCGGUAAUACGUAGGUGGCAAGCGUUUACCGGAAUGACUGGGCGUAAAGGGUGCGUAGGUGGUUAAGUAAGUUGGCGGUGUAAUUCCGGGGCUCAAACUCGGCGCUACCGCCAAAACUUGUAGACUAGAGUGCAGGAGGGGUAAGUGGAAUUCGUAGUGUAGCGGUGAAAUGCAUAGAUAUUAGGAAGAACAUCAAGGGCGAAGGCGACUUACUGGACUGUAACUGACGCUGAGGCACGAAAGCGUGGGGAGCGAACAGGAUUAGAUACCCCAGUAGUC